GACGAACGCUGGCGGCGUGCCUAAUACAUGCAAGUAGAACGCUGAAGAGAGGAGCUUGCUCUUCUUGGAUGAGUUGCGAACGGGUGAGUAACGCGUAGGUAACCUGCCUGGUAGCGGGGGAUAACUAUUGGAAACGAUAGCUAAUACCGCAUAAAAUGGAUUAUCGCAUGAUAAUCCAUUGAAAGGUGCAAAUGCAUCACUACCAGAUGGACCUGCGUUGUAUUAGCUAGUUGGUGGGGUAACGGCUCACCAAGGCGACGAUACAUAGCCGACCUGUGAGGGUGAUCGGCCACACUGGGACUGAGACACGGCCCAGACUCCUACGGGAGGCAGCAGUAGGGAAUCUUCGGCAAUGGACGGAAGUCUGACCGAGCAACGCCGCGUGAGUGAAGAAGGUUUUCGGAUCGUAAAGCUCUGUUGUAAGAGAAGAACGAGUGUGAGAGUGGAAAGUUCACACUGUGACGGUAUCUUACCAGAAAGGGACGGCUAACUACGU
rnacentral:rRNA from 1 species